AGCGAACGCUGGCGGCAGGCCUAACACAUGCAAGUCGAACGAACCCUUCGGGGUUAGUGGCGGACGGGUGAGUAACACGUGGGAACGUGCCUUUAGGUUCGGAAUAACCCAGGGAAACUUGUGCUAAUACCGCAUGUGCCCUUCGGGGGAAAGAUUUAUCGCCUUUAGAGCGGCCCGCGUCUGAUUAGCUAGUUGGUGAGGUAAUGGCUCACCAAGGCUACGAUCAGUAGCUGGUCUGAGAGGAUGACCAGCCACAUUGGGACUGAGACACGGCCCAAACUCCUACGGGAGGCAGCAGUGGGGAAUCUUGCGCAAUGGGCGAAAGCCUGACGCAGCCAUGCCGCGUGGAUGAUGAAGGUCUUAGGAUUGUAAAAUCCUUUCACCGGUGAAGAUAAUGACUGUAGCCGGAGAAGAGGCCCCGGCUAACUUCGUGUCAGCAGCCGCCGUAACAC
rnacentral:rRNA from 1 species